AGGAGUGUAGCUCAAUUGGCAGAGCGCCGGUCUCCAAAACCGGAGGUUGCGGGUUCGAUUCCCUCCACUCCUGCCA
rnacentral:tRNA from 2 species